AGCUGCAAAAAAUGCAAGUUUAGGUCCCUGGCAGGAAUCAAACAUGUGGCCAUCGCAGGGCUGUAGGUUUGAUUCCUGCCAGGGACCUAAACUUGCAUUUUUUGCAGCU